rnacentral:rRNA from 1 species
GACGAACGCUGGCGGCGUGCUUAACACAUGCAAGUCGAACGGAAAGACCCUGCUUUUGCUGCUCGCUCGUGUGGCGCACGCGUGAGUAUCACGCGUGUAUCCCGUACUUGUCUUUGGGAUAUCUUUUGGAAACUCGGGCUCUUACCGGAUAGAAUAUCCUGCUCCGUGGGGUGGGUUGGUAAGAUUCGGCGGUUGGGGAUGGUCUCGAGGCUUAUCCGCUUGUUAGGCGGGUAGUUGCUUUCCAAGCUUAUGACGGGUAGCCGGCCUGGGAGGGGGACCGGGCACAUUGGGACUGAGAGACGGCGCAGACGCCAACGGGAGGCAACAGUGGAGAAUAUUGCAGAAUGAGCGGAAGCCAGUGGCAGCAACGCCGCGUGCGGGAUGACGGCCUACGGGUUGAAAACCGCUGUCGCCGGAGACGAGGCGUGAGUGACGGUAAUGAGUAAAGAAGCACCGGCUAACUACGUG